rnacentral:rRNA from 1 species
UGCAGUCGAGGGGCAGCACGGGUGCUUGCACUUGGUGGCGACCGGCGGACGGGUGCGUAACGCGUAUGCAACCUACCUUAUACAGGGAGAUAGCCCAGAGAAAUUUGGAUUAAUAUGCCAUAAUAUCAUAAAGCCACAUGGUUUAAUGAUUAAAGAUUUAUCGGUAUAAGAUGGGCAUGCGUAUGAUUAGCUAGUUGGUGAGGUAAUGGCUCACCAAGGCGACGAUCAUUAGGGGGCCUGAGAGGGUGAACCCCCACACUGGUACUGAGACACGGACCAGACUCCUACGGGAGGCAGCAGUGAGGAAUAUUGGGCAAUGGAGGCAACUCUGACCCAGCCAUGCCGCGUGUAGGAAGAAGGCGUUCUGCGUCGUAAACUACUUUUAUAUAGGAAUAAACCUCUCUACGUGUAGAGGGCUGAAUGUACUAUACGAAUAAGCACCGGCUAACUCCGUGCCAGCAGCCGCGGUAAUACGGAGGGUGCAAGCGUUAUCCGGAUUCAUUGGGUUUAAAGGGUCCGUAGGCGGCCAAAUAAGUCAGUGGUGAAAGCCUCCCGCUCAACGGGAGAACUGCCAUUGAAACUGUCUGGCUUGAAUCUAUUUGAAGUGGGCGGAAUACAUCAUGUA